CUGCCCUCUCAGAAGAGGUCUUGUCAUAUGUUUUGGAGCUGUUUUCACCUGGAGAAGGUGAUGGCUCAUGGCAUGGAGCUUGUUUAUCAUUGGCUGAGCUAGCACGUAGAGGGUUGCUAUUGCCUGCCAAUCUUCCCAAAGUUGUACCUUUUGUUGUGAAGGCAUUGCAUUAUGAUAUUCGAAGAGGCCCACAUAGUAUUGGGUCUCAUGUGCGUGAUGCUGCUGCUUAUGUUUGUUGGGCAUUUGGUCGGGCAUAUUAUCACACUGAUAUGAGAAAAGUAUUGGAACAGCUUGCUCCACAUCUAUUAACAGUGGCCUGCUAUGAUCGUGAGGUCAAUUGCAGAAGAGCAGCAGCAGCUGCUUUUCAGGAGAAUGUUGGAAGACAAGGCAAUUAUCCACAUGGCAUUGACAUAGUGAAUACUGC
rnacentral:misc_RNA from 1 species